rnacentral:rRNA from 1 species
CGGCGUGCUUAACACAUGCAAGUCGAACGGAGUGGUCCUCCCGAAGACCUGAUUGAGCUUGCUCUUGAUGGAAUUCAUUUGGAUCACUUAGUGGCGGACGGGUGAGUAACGCGUGGGUAACCUGCCCUAUACUGGGGGAUAGCAGUUGGAAACGACUGAUAAUACCGCAUAAGCGCACAGCACCGCAUGGUGCAGUGUGAAAAACUCCGGUGGUAUAGGAUGGACCCGCGUCUGAUUAGCUAGUUGGUGAGGUAACGGCCCACCAAGGCGACGAUCAGUAGCCGGCCUGAGAGGGUGUACGGCCACAUUGGGACUGAGACACGGCCCAAACUCCUACGGGAGGCAGCAGUGGGGAAUAUUGGACAAUGGGGGAAACCCUGAUCCAGCGAACCGCCGCGUGAGUGAAGAAGUAUCUCGGUAUGUAAAGCUCUAUCAGCAGGGAAGAUAAUGACGGUACCUGACUAAGAAGCACCGGCUAAAUACGUGCCAGCCGCCGC